AUAAUAAUAAUAAAAAAAGCUAUACAAAUUGAAAAUCAAUGACUUUUCUUAGGUCUAUCAGAAAACUGUGAAAGCAGGGCAAACAUCACCACAAAAUUGAGAGAAACUGGCACACCAGAGAGCCAUAGCCAAGAUCUACUUCCUGAAGCAGAAGUGGCUAGAGCCGUAACUUGUAUUAGUUUGCUGAGGAUAAUGGCUUUCAACUCCAUCCAUGUCCCUGCAAAGGACUUGAUCUCAUUUCCUUUUAUGGCUACAUAGUAUUCCAUGUGGUAUAUGUACUACAUUUUAUUUACCCAGUCUAUCAUUGAUGGGCAUUUGGGUUGAUUUCAUGUAUUAGCUAUUGUGAAUAGUGUUGCAAUGAACAUACACAUGCAUGUAUCUUUAUAAUAAAAUGAUUUAUAUUCCUUUGGGUACAUACCCAGUAAUGGGAUUGCUGGGUCAAAUGGUAUUUCUGGUUCUAGGACUUCAAGGAAUUGCCACAGUCUUCCACAAUGGUUGAACUAAUUUACAUUCCUACCAACAGUGUAAAAGCAUUCCUAUUUCUCUGCAACCUCAACAGCAUCAGUUGUUUCUUGACUUUUUAAUAAUCACCAUUCUGACUAGUGUGAGAUGGUAUCUCAUUGUGGUUUUGAUUUGCAUUUCUCUAAUGACUAGCGAUGUUGAACUUUUUUUUUGCAUGUUUGUUGGCCACAUAAAUGUCUUCUUUUGAGAAGUGCCUGUUCAUGUCCUUUGCCCACUUUUUAAUAGGGUUGUUUGUUUUUUUCUUGUAAAUUUGUUUAAGUUCCUUGUAAAUUCUUGAUAUUAGACCUUUGUCAGAUGGAUAAAUAGCAAAUUUUUCUCCAUUCUGUAGGUUGUCUGUUCACUGUGAUGAUAGUUUCUUUUGCUGAGCAGAAGCUCUUUAGUUUAAUGAGACCCCAUUUGUUAAUUUUUCUUUUGUUGCUAUUGUUUUUGGCAUUUUUGUCAUGAAAUCUUUGCCUAUGCCUAUGUCCUGAAUGGUAUUGCCUAGAUUUUCUUCUAGGGUUUUUAUAGUUUUGGGUUUUACAUUUAAGUCUUUAACGUGUCUUGAGCUAAUUUUUGUAUAAGGUGUAAGGAAGGGGGUCCAGUUUCAAUUUUCUGCAUAUGGCUAACCAGUUCUUCCAGCACCAUUAAAUAGAAAAUCCUUUCCCCAUUGCUUGUUUUUGUCAGGUUUGUUGAAGAUCAGAUGGUUGUAGCUGUGUGGUCUUAUUUCUGAGUUCUCGAUUCUGUUCUAUUGGUCUAUGAGUCUGUUUUUGUACCAUCACCAUGCUGUUUUGUUUAUAUGCUGGUUUGGUAGCCUUGUAGUGUAGUUUGAAGUAAGGUAGCAUGAUCCCCCCCAGCUUUGUUAUUUUUGCUUAAUGUUUUCUUGGCUAUACAGACUCUUCUUUGUCCAUAUGAAUUUUAAAACAGAUUAUUCUAAUUCUGUGAAAAAUGUCAAUGGUAGUAUAAGGGGAAGAGCAUUGAAUCUAUAAAUUAUUUUGGGUAGUAUGGCCAUUUUAAUCAUAUUGGUUCUUUCUAUCACUUCCCUUCUUAGCUGUAUUCCUAGGUAUUUUAUUCUCUUUGUAACAACUGUGGAAUUGGAGUUCAUUCAUGAUUUGGCUCUCUGCUUGUCUGUUGUUAGUGUGUAGGAAUCCUGG
rnacentral:lncRNA from 1 species